GGAGUUUCUGAAUAUCACAUGUAAAUGUAAACCCAUAGAACUCCAGGGAAUUAUUUGUACAAAAUGCUGCGUUUAUUUAGUAAUGGCGAAAUCGGCCACUGCAUCACAUGGGUGAAGGUGGCGUUGUAUUGCAUCAGUGUCACCCCUCAAGAGUUCGACUGCAGCGCUGCUUGUACGGAUGAAUUAUAUCAUUUCUAGCCCGAGUUUUGUAAGAUUGCGUCUGAUGGAUUACUAGAACUCGUCCAAUUGCAGAAAGGGAGGGUACAUCAGAUUUCAGAAUGUUGGAAGGUGUUUUGCACUUGUUUGCUUUUCUUUUUUAGUUUAAAAUUCUAUGACUCAUUGGUCAAAAGCGUUUAAUUGUAUUUGUAUGCCUGUGACAUAACUCUCAAUAUAGAGCUUCAGUCCAGUCAAUGUUUAAGCAUUAAAACACAGUUCACUAAUCAAUCUAGACUCAUUGGUCAAAAUGUCAUGAUUUCAAGUGCUUAAUUGGAUGCCUAUGACAUACCUCUUGAUAUAGAACUUAUGUAGAGCCUCAAAUCAAGUCAAAGUUUAAGCAUUAAACAACACACAGAUUGUUUUCAUUUUCGGGCUGCAGCCACAGCUAAACAACUUCGAUCUAAGAUGAUGCGAACCAGGGAGCAAAGGUCUCCUAAUAAUCAAUCCCUGUACUCUUGAGUGAAGUCUUGGAGCUUUAUAUCAUUCUACAAGGCCAUCUGAUCUUGUUUUAAUUUUGUAGACCCAUUUACAACAAACAAUAGAUUUCCCAUGUGGGAGUCAACCAAAUCCAAGUGUGAGUCUUACUUAAGUCUUGCAAUUCUUCUGUCAUUGCUUGCUGCCAAAUAGGAUUAGUACUGACUUCACGAUAUGUUUUGAGAUUCAUGAAAGGAUACUGUAGCAGAAAAACAGUGAUAAUCACAAACAUGAGAAGACAGUUGACUUGCUCGAGUAGAUUGACAUGGAAGUUGAAACUCAAUAGAGGAGUUAGAAUCUGCAUCCGAAUGAGAUACUUCUUGGGCAGUCACGGUAUGAUCUUCGGUAGAACAUGUAUCACAGCCGGAGAGAAAGGGGUCUAUAGGAGUAGGAUUUGGCAAUUCUUCACUACAUGAUGGUGGGAGUAAGUCUGUAAAUGGAUCAAGAAAGAAAGUUACAAUUGACAAGACACACAAUCAACUUUAAUGUCUGGGAUGGAUCUUAACAUACCUCUAGAAAUUAAUGGACAAAAUUUAGAUAACGGCACAUGUCCAAAACGAGAAUGUUAAGUUUCAGAUGACACUGAAAUAGCAAAAUGACUCAAUAUCGAUAAGAAAGACGUAAAGAAGCAAGUUUGAACAGAUGACCAACUUUAUAGUCGGUCCCAUGUAUCUGCCCUGUCUGCGAUUCCUGCACAUGACGAGAAAAGUGUAAGCUUGGGAUCCAGAAAUGUCUGAGGUAGAGAUAGGUUAGCGGUCGAGAUCUCUCUUAUAUGACUAACAUGAAUUUUAGAGUUAUUCGUAGUAUGAAUAGUAGGUGUGUGAGAGAUAAGUGUGUGCGGUUGGAACUUAGAAGAAUCAAAUGUGGUUACAACAAGUCAACAACCAUAAUCAAAGAACCAAGAUUUAGAUUUACCUGGAAUGACAGAGAGGGUAGGAUAGGAAGUACCGGACUUAUCUAGGGUUUUCUUGAUAGUGUUAAGGUAAACUUUGUUGAAAAGAGCUUUAAGCAUACGGAGCUCAGUACUAGUUUAUGAUGAAUCCUACUGACAUCAGUAAUGACAACUGCAGUCCUUAAACGAUUGGUUCUUAGGAUUUGAAAUUCUAACUAGCCAUGUGCCUUAACCUCUUUCGACAUUCAUCAAUAUGGUUACGUGGUAUAUAAUAGUGACAAGUGCCCUUGUGCUUUGUAGAUGUAGUAGCAUAACAGUGUUAGUAGAAUCUGAAUUCUGAAUUUCUGAUGAGAUCUCAUUGUGCUAAGGUAAGAGUUUUAAUUCAGCAACCAUGCGUCUCAAGUUUAGGAAAUGGAUCUCAAUGAGCAAAGAGGCUCGAACAGAGCUAGGGUCAUGAGAAAGUGAAUAACUCUCAACUUAUCUUUGUCGGUGGUAAAUUUAGUCGUGUCAGAUGUUUGAUCCCACAUUGGUUCAGAGUAUGCUAGCUGGUUCCAAAUAACAUGCAUCCGAGAGAGGAAAUCAUUUAUAGGUGUCCUGGUUCUUGCUUCAAGCUAUGUAGAUAGCCAUAGAGUUAAUACUGAUGUGAAAUAGAGUAUUGUUGAGCUUGUAAAUCCACACUUCUUUAGCAGUAUCAAAUCGUCCAACUGAAGUUUGAUAAAAGAAAUAUUAGUAUUUCAGAACCAAGUGAGAAUUUGAUGGUUCUUGAUAUCCCAUUCAUCCGGUCGAUCAUAAAACUGGUCCUCCAUUUCAUUCUUACACUUAAGCGGUGAAGUAAUUGUUUCAGUAAUAUAUCACCUUAAUUUGCGCCCUUUAAGAAAGCUAAACAUCUCUUGAGACCAUAUAAUGUAGUUGGUCCCAUCCAAAAAGUGUCAAUGGAGAGAGAGAGAGAGAUCUUAUUUAUCCAUGCAGGUGAAGAAAAUAGACGAUGAAAUGCAAAAACAUGUAAGAUCAGGUGCUACACGUUACAAAACUGUACUAUGCAAUCAGAACUAGGGAAAUCAAGGUUGGAAACAGAUUCAGAACCUUUGAAUACCUUAGGAACCGCUAUGAACUGUCAAAGAAUUGGAUUGUACGAAGUCAAACAGGUCGGUUAGAGUUUGCACACGUGGUGCUAACAUGGCAGACAGAAUAUAAACAGGUGCGUGAGGCAGUGAUAUUAGGUGCAGUUCAGACGAGAGGCGCAUGAGGGCACUUUAAGCUUCGUGUCGGAGGAUUUUGGUGGCAUUAGACUCGUGCUUUGACGUAGAGUUGAUAUAUGGCAGGAACUCAAAAAAUAGACAACAAAAGUAUAGUGGGGGAUUUAUGGUUCAGACAAGUAUUGGUGAUGUAACUAGGAGCCAAUAGUAACCAUAAAAUUUUUCCCUGCAACAACUGUGGCUCUUUUACCAUGUUUUAGGACAAAGAAAAAGAGAUAAAACUAUACCAGUGUUGAGUAUUCACUACAAUGAAAAGUGUCCUAUAUAUAGGAGAAUUACAACUAUGUAUGUGUAAAGUUACAGCUGAGGAACGAUGCUACCAUAUUUACAUAAUUCUUAACAGUUUUAACAAUGGAAGAGUGUAUUUGAUUUAUUUUAACAUGUAUGUGUGAACGCUUACGGUGUUAAUUGUGUGUUUUGAGUUUAUGGUUGUUUUAGGUGGGAGGGGGGUGGGGUGGUUCCUGGGAAGAAGUUUACGUUGUUAAUCACACUCUGAGAAAUGCAGCAAUAAAUUUAAAGUCAAAUAUUAUUUAACUGUGAAGAAAUCUUGUGCUAGAGCCCUUCAACCUCAACUAAUAUUAGAUUCAAAAAGUUAUGCACGCACGCACAACUCAUUAGGUUACAAUGCUCUAAAUGUGGCAGACCCUUCAUUCAUUAUCUCAGUGAUUUUUUCUUCCCUAACCAAAUGAGAGAAUUCAGCUUCUGAAGUUGAAUAUAAACUUUCUUCCUUGAUGUAAAAUAAUAAUUUCCUCUCAGCUCCAGCUGAAGCCAUUUAAAUCGAAUUGCUUGCAACUUGAAGCAGGAUCAUUUUUGUCAUCCAUGUUUAGAUCCAGUUCUGUUGUAAAGUAAGGUAGUUUUGUCUUCUGCUUCUCUGGUCUAUGAGCAUCUCGGCCUAAAUAUUUAGCAUCUGCAUCAGCUUCUCUAUGUCUUUCCCCUGAACAGCUACUACUGCCAUUCCAUAGUCCUCUCUGAGGUCCAAUGGCCAUCGACAAAUUUCUGGAGUUCUCUUCUGUAGCAAAUGCUUUUUCUACAUUGUCAUUUGUUGCACAAAGAAAUCUGCUGCUCACUUUCAGGUCUUCGCACAGUUUGAGUUCAGUCUUCUGCACCCUGAGUUCAUUGUCAAUAAUCCUCGACUCUAUAGGUUCUCGAAAAUUCAAAGUUUUCAAUCCUAUUUGGUUAUUGUACAAUUCUUGGUCCCUGAGAGAACCUUCACAGGAGGUUAAGCAGCUGUCUGUUGAACAAUCCGUUGGCUGAGUUGUUUUUAUUUGCUGUAGGGACAAAUCCGACACUUCUUUCAUCCCUGAAAAUUCAGAAUUCAGGCAUUGGGUAGAUACUUUAGACACCAAAUCUGAUAUCUGAACCUUGGCUGCCUCCAAAUCAAUUGUCCCCAAGUUCUGUGUUCCUAGGGUUUCCUCUGCUUUCUCCAAUACGGACUGUAGAUAUUUACCUUGGGCCUCAAUCCGUAGCUGUAAAUGGCGCUGUACCUACACAUACAGAGUAAACUCUGUUUUCAGUGCAACAUAAAAUUCAACAUUUAAUUGUUUGAAAUAUGAAUUUUGGACUACUAUUGUUUAUUAGGAAAGUUUCACUUCAAUAAGAGAUUAAAAUUGUCAUCGCGAUCCUACAUGUGUGAAAUAUUUGCCUAGAAUUUGGUUAAAUGCAUGUUUUCAUGGUAUAUCUUCCAAAGAUCUGAUGACAACUUUUCUGGUUUCAGAUUUCAGAGGGUUUUGAAGAGGCCACACUUUAUUUUGAUUCAUUAGUAAAAAUAUGUAUUCUCUUAUGUUGGAAUCAAAGAAAUUGCAAUUGCU
rnacentral:lncRNA from 1 species